GGGAGGCAGCAGUGGGAAUAUUGCACAAUGGGCGAAAGCCUGAUGCAGCGACGCCGCUUGAGGGAUGACGGCCUUCGGGUUGUAAACCUCUUUCAGUAGGGAAGAAGCGAAAGUGACGGUACCUGCAGAAGAAGCACCGGCUAACUACGUGCCAGCAGCCGCGGUAAUACGUAGGGUGCGAGCGUUAUCCGGAAUUAUUGGGCGUAAAGAGCUCGUAGGCGGUUUGUCGCGUCUGUCGUGAAAGUCCGGGGCUUAACCCCGGAUCUGCGGUGGGUACGGGCAGACUAGAGUGCAGUAGGGGAGACUGGAAUUCCUGGUGUAGCGGUGGAAUGCGCAGAUAUCAGGAGGAACACCGAUGGCGAAGGCAGGUCUCUGGGCUGUAACUGACGCUGAGGAGCGAAAGCAUGGGGAGCGAACAGGAUUAGAUACCCUGGUAGUCCAUGCCGUAAACGUUGGGCACUAGGUGUGGGGACCAUUCCACGGUUUCCGCGCCGCAGCUAACGCAUUAAGUGCCCCGCCUGGGGAGUACGGCCGCAAGGCUAAAACUCAAAGGAAUUGACGGGGGCCCGCACAAGCGGCGGAGCAUGCGGAUUAAUUCGAUGCAACGCGAAGAACCUUACCAAGGCUUGACAUGUUCUCGAUCGCCGUAGAGAUACGGUUUCCCCUUUGGGGCGGGUUCACAGGUGGUGCAUGGUUGUCGUCAGCUCGUGUCGUGAGAUGUUGGGUUAAGUCCCGCAACGAGCGCAACCCUCGUUCCAUGUUGCCAGCACGUAGUGGUGGGGACUCAUGGGAGACUGCCGGGGUCAACUCGGAGGAAGGUGAGGACGACGUCAAAUCAUCAUGCCCCUUAUGUCUUGGGCUUCACGCAUGCUACAAUGGCCGGUACAAUGGGUUGCGAUACUGUGAGGUGGAGCUAAUCCCAAAAAGCCGGUCUCAGUUCGGAUUGGGGUCUGCAACUCGACCCCAUGAAGUCGGAGUCGCUAGUAAUCGCAGAUCAGCAACGCUGCGGUGAAUACGUUCCCGGGCCUUGUACACACCGCCCGUCAAGUCACGAAAGUUGGUAACACCCGAAGCCGGUGGCCUAUU
rnacentral:rRNA from 1 species